rnacentral:sRNA from 1 species
GGUUAGCCCCGAUAAUAGUGGCAUCCUUUUUAUUUUCUUUUUUUCCUCAUUUAAAUGAAAGAAAAUAAAAAGAUAGAACGAAUAGCGGGAGGAUUU